GACGAACGCUGGCGGCGUGCUUAACACAUGCAAGUCGAACGGAAAGGCCCUGCUUUUGUGGGGUGCUCGAGUGGCGAACGGGUGAGUAACACGUGAGUAACCUGCCCUUGACUUUGGGAUAACUUCAGGAAACUGGGGCUAAUACCGGAUAGGAGCUCCUGCUGCAUGGUGGGGGUUGGAAAGUUUCGGCGGUUGGGGAUGGACUCGCGGCUUAUCAGCUUGUUGGUGGGGUAGUGGCUUACCAAGGCUUUGACGGGUAGCCGGCCUGAGAGGGUGACCGGCCCCAUUGGGACUGAGAUACGGCCCAGACUCCUACGGGAGGCAGCAGUGGGGAAUAUUGCACAAUGGGCGGAAGCCUGAUGCAGCAACGCCGCGUGCGGGAUGACGGCCUUCGGGUUGUAAACCGCUUUCGCCUGUGACGAAGCGUGAGUGACGGUAAUGUGUAAAGAAGCACCGGCUAACUACGUG
rnacentral:rRNA from 1 species